AGUCCCCAACACACAUCCACACCUCAGUAACAAAGAGAGCGUUGGCAGGCAGAGAGAGAGAGAGCCGACGAGAGAAUGAAGGGCAUCCGGCGAAUAUCCGGUGAGUACUCCGGCGCGUGAGUGGUACCAAUCUAAGACUUAGAUCAUGGCAGUGAUCUCGAUUGUCCGAUCGUGCAUCGGUGAUGGUUAUGGCAGGACGAUAGACGGCGGCGAGCUUAUUGGCCGGAAAAGGGAACGACGGUGACAGAGCCUCACUUCUCUUGCUCUCUCUGGAUAACAAAAACGGGUUCUAAUAAGGGGCAACAAUGACCGGCAGCAGCGGAACAACAAAGGUUUGAAAAUGUUGGAAGGAAGGCAAAUCACCAAAUAAAUUAAAAGCCUUGCACUACUGACAAGAGAAAAUUGCUGGAAGCUUGAAGUUGAAGCUGGUAAGGUUGAAUUGACUAGCGCUCAUUGGAUUGAAGAAACAAGAAAAAUCACAAAGUCCAAUAGAAGAUGGACAUGUUAGUAUUUAUUGUCACUUUGUUUUUUUUAUUCUAAUGCAACUAAGCUAUAUCAUUUGAAUCUAAGUGAAUGGAAUAGAUUGUUACAUUUAAUGCUUAAGGGUUUGUUCAUCCUUUUCAUCUACACUUCUUUUUAGAUUUUGUAUAUAGUCGAUUGCU
rnacentral:lncRNA from 1 species